UGAGUAACCUGCCCUUAACUCUGGGAUAAGCCUGGGAAACUGGGUCUAAUACCGGAUAUGACUCCUCAUCGCAUGGGGGGGGGUGGAAAGCUUUAUUGUGGUUUUGGAUGGACUCGCGGCCUAUCAGCUUGUUGGUGAGGUAAUGGCUCACCAAGGCGACGACGGGUAGCCGGCCUGAGAGGGUGACCGGCCACACUGGGACUGAGACACGGCCCAGACUCCGUACGGGAGGCAG
rnacentral:rRNA from 1 species